rnacentral:rRNA from 1 species
AGCGGAGGAAAAGAAACUAACAAGGAUUCCCCUAGUAACGGCGAGUGAAGAGGGAAGAGCCCAAGAUUGAAAGCUGGCGUCUUCGGCGUCCGCAUUGUAAUCUCAAGAAGUGUUUUCCGCUUCGGACCAUGCCUAAGUCCCUUGGAAAAGGGUAUCAUAGAGGGUGAUAAUCCCGUACAUGGCAUGGAGCGCCCGAAGCUUUGUGAUACGCUUUCUACGAGUCGAGUUGUUUGGGAAUGCAGCUCAAAAUGGGUGGUAAAUGCCAUCUAAGGCUAAAUAUUGGGGAGAGACCGAUAGCGAACAAGUACAGUGAUGGAAAGAUGAAAAGAACUUUGAAAAGAGAGUUAAACAGUACGUGAAAUUGCCAAAAGGGAAGGGUAGGAGGUCAGAGAUGCGUCUUGGGAUUCAGCCUUGCUUUUGCAUGGUGUUUUUCCCAAGCUGCAGGCCAACGUCGGUUUUGGGCACUGGAGAAGGGUAGGAGGAACGUGGCACCUCUCGGGGUGUGUUAUAGCCUCCUACUGGAUACAGCGACCGAGACCGAGGAACGCAGCGUACUCGUAAGAGCGGGCCUUUUGGCACCUUUACGCU